GUGCAUUCCUCCCUGAAUAAAAUCCUUGUAUAUGGCUGCUGUCUGUCCCAUGAAUGCCCAACGGUCAAACUGAGCAUUAAUUCAAUGCAUCACCCACACUGGCAGUAAUGUAUGCUACUCUCAUUCCUUACACUGCAAUAGAAUCUCUUCUAAAUCAUGUCUGCAUGCAGUUUGAUUUAUUGUGUGCCAAUUUCCUUCGCUUUUUUUCAGAAAUCUGAAUAUAAGGAUAUUUUAUCUAAUACGGCUAGCUUAUGACAAACUCUUGCCCCACAACUUAGUAUAAGAAGCUGUUCUGGGCUUGCUUCCAAAUGCCAAACCAAUCACCUCCAACAUCUUGAAAGACUUUGGCUAUACAACUCCUGUAAAUUCAGAGACCACACUCCUUGCUUUCGGCAAUGCAAU